rnacentral:rRNA from 4 species
ACGGGUGAGGAAUACAUCGGAAUCUACUUUUUCGUGGGGGAUAACGUAGGGAAACUUACGCUAAUACCGCAUACGACCUACGGGUGAAAGCAGGGGACCUUCGGGCCUUGCGCGAUUGAAUGAGCCGAUGUCGGAUUAGCUAGUUGGCGGGGUAAAGGCCCACCAAGGCGACGAUCCGUAGCUGGUCUGAGAGGAUGAUCAGCCACACUGGAACUGAGACACGGUCCAGACUCCUACGGGAGGCAGCAGUGGGGAAUAUUGGACAAUGGGCGCAAGCCUGAUCCAGCCAUACCGCGUGGGUGAAGAAGGCCUUCGGGUUGUAAAGCCCUUUUGUUGGGAAAGAAAUCCAGCCGGCUAAUACCUGGUUGGGAUGACGGUACCCAAAGAAUAAGCACCGGCUAACUUCGUGCCAGCAGCCGCGGUAAUACGAAGGGUGCAAGCGUUACUCGGAAUUACUGGGCGUAAAGCGUGCGUAGGUGGUUGUUUAAGUCUGUUGUGAAAGCCCUGGGCUCAACCUGGGAACUGCAGUGGAAACUGGACAACUAGAGUGUGGUAGAGGGUAGCGGAAUUCCCGGUGU